UACGUAGGGUGCGAGCGUUGUCCGGAAUUAUUGGGCGUAAAGAGCUCGUAGGCGGUUUGUCGCGUCGACUGUGAAAACUGGGGGCUUAACUCUCAGCUUGCAGUUGAUACGGGCAGACUUGAGUUCGGUAGGGGAGACUGGAAUUCCUGGUGUAGCGGUGAAAUGCGCAGAUACCAGGAGGAACACCGGUGGCGAAGGCGGGUCUCUGGGCCGAUACUGACGCUGAGGAGCGAAAGCGUGGGGAGCGAACAGG
rnacentral:rRNA from 1 species